rnacentral:rRNA from 1 species
AGCGAGCGCUGGCGGCAGGCUUAACACGUGCAAGUCGAGCGGACCUUUCGGGGUCAGCGGCGGACGGGUGAGUAACGCGUGGGAACGUGCCUUCCGGUUCGGAAUAACCCUGGGAAACUAGGGCUAAUACCGGAUACGCCCUUAUGGGGAAAGGUUUACUGCCGGAAGAUCGGCCCGCGUCUGAUUAGCUAGUUGGUGGGGUAACGGCCUACCAAGGCGACGAUCAGUAGCUGGUCUGAGAGGAUGAUCAGCCACACUGGGACUGAGACACGGCCCAGACUCCUACGGGAGGCAGCAGUGGGGAAUAUUGGACAAUGGGCGCAAGCCUGAUCCAGCCAUGCCGCGUGAGUGAUGAAGGCCUUAGGGUUGUAAAGCUCUUUUAUCCGGGACGAUAAUGACGGUACCGGAGGAAUAAGCCCCGGCUAACUUCGUG